UACGUAGGGGGCCAGCGUUGUCCGGAAUCAUUGGGCGUAAAGCGCGCGUAGGCGGUCAGGUAAGUCCGGUGUGAAAGUCAAAGGCUCAACCUUUGAAUGCCGCUGGAUACUGCUUGACUUGAGUCCGGAAGGGGCGAGUGGAAUUCCUGGUGUAGCGGUGAAAUGCGCAGAUAUCAGGAGGAACACCAAUGGCGAAGGCAGCUCGCUGGAACGGUACUGACGCUGAGGCGCGAAAGCUAGGGGAGCAAACGGG
rnacentral:rRNA from 1 species